GGCAGUCGGUCUCGCAGGCUGGCUCAACCCGUUGGUCGUAGGUUCGAGUCCUACACGGCCCACCA
rnacentral:tRNA from 1 species